UACGAAGGGGGCUAGCGUUGCUCGGAAUCACUGGGCGUAAAGCGCACGUAGGCGGACUCUUAAGUCGGUGGUGAAAUCCUGGAGCUCAACUCCAGAACUGCCUUCGAUACUGGGAGUCUCGAGUCCGGGAGAGGUGAGUGGAACUGCGAGUGUAGAGGUGAAAUUCGUAGAUAUUCGCAAGAACACCAGUGGCGAAGGCGGCUCACUGGGGGUUUUCUGGCGCUGAGGAACGAAAGCCAGGGUAGCGAACGGG
rnacentral:rRNA from 1 species